rnacentral:tRNA from 1 species
GCCUUGGUAGCUCAGUGGUAGAGCGUCGGAAUUACACCUGCGAAUCCAAAGUAGGUUGUGUAGCCGAAAAAGAGACGCAGUCCGGAGGUCAGGGGUUCGAUCCCUCUCCAAGGUG